UAUUAGGUUGGUGCAAAAGUAAUUGCAGCUUUUGCUAUUACUUUCAAUGGCAAAAAUCACAAUUAGUUUUGUACCAACUUAAUA
rnacentral:miRNA from 1 species